UGUAACCCUCCUAAGAAACUUUGAGUUAAAGACGAUUCUCAUCCCCAUUCGACAGAUAGAGAAACGGAGGCACAGAGAGGUGAAGUAACUAGUCCCAAAUCACCCAGCUAGGAAUGGCAGCGCAUGGUACCAACCCGAGGAAGCUGGUUCCAGAGCCUGAGCUGUUAACCACUCCUCUACAGUUUGCUGGGUUUUGAUUUUCAAAUUGUUGCCAGUCCACAGCUGUGAAAUGUCUCUAAAUGUUUUAACCUGCAUUGCCUGCUUUGGAGGGACCUUGAGGCUCUUGCCAUCCAUUUGUUGGCUAGUCAGGUGUCCUCUUUGGAAAAAUGACUCUUUAUAGACUUGGCUGCCCCUGAAUUUCUGAUCUUCAAAGCAAAUGUUCCUGGAAGCCAGAACUCCAGGCAGGGCCUGGCACAGAGUAGCCACUUGGUAAAAAUGUACCGACUACCUGGUAGUGUCUCUCACCUGCCCUUCCUCUUAGAAGCCGGAUGCUAAGUAAUAAAACUUCUGCUUGGAUUACUGGCUGAUCAUCUGUGUUUUGGGCACAUGAGCAGCUCCCUGUCCCCAAAACCAUUUCCCCCUCUUGUGAUCUGACUCUAGUCUACCUCCCUGACCUCAUCUCCUUCGACUCCCCCUUCCCUUGUUUCUCAUGAACCCCACUGGCCAUCGUCCCAUCCCUUCCGUCAGCCAUCUUCACUCCCACCUCAGGGCCUUUGCAUAUGCUAUUCCCUCUGCCAGGAACACUCUUCCAGUGGUGGCUCCAUCUCAUCCUUCUUGCCUUGGCUCAAAUGCCACCACCUCAGAACGGCUUUCCUGACUCCCCAGAGGAAAUAGAGGCAUGAAGGGAUUAAGCAUAAUUGUCAACAAUUAUACAGCUGGAGUAUUGGUAAGAUUUUAAAAUUAUGUUAUCUUACUAUCUGCCUAUGUUUCCAAUUUUUUUCUAAAGUGGUGAUGUAUUCCCUACAUGAAUUUUUUUAACCCAAAUUUAAAAUUAAUUAAGAGCCAAUCCUGAGAGGACAAAUGAGUUUCUGGGGUUCUAUUUCCCAAUCCUCCUGGCUCAAUACUUCAGCAGUGCUGAAAUAAGAUCCUAGCAUUUUGCAACCUUCAGGAUUUCCUUACUCCCCAAUCCCACUCCACUUGACUAUUAUCUGCCCUUGGCUCUGAAUCAUAAACUUGAAAGGAAAGCCUCAGAUCCAAAAGCCUCUCUGCUAAACAACCUCCCCUCCCUUGUGAAUGUUUCUGAUCUGCAAAAUGGGGAUAAUAAAAGCACUUAUUUCACAGGGUAGUUAGGAGGAUCCAGCGUCAUGGUGCUCAAAAAAUAUCUAGCAGGAGGACGGCUACUACUGUGGGGAAACCACACUGUGAGAUGAGUCCGGAAUCAUACAAACCUUGGAUUAAAGCCUGGCUUGCUGUGUGACCUUGAGCAACUCACUUGAUCUCUCUGAGCUUCAGUUUCCCCAUCCGUGAAAUAAAGAUUUAAAAAUCCAUUCUAAGUCCAUUAGCAUGCCUUUUGCUAGAAAAAAGGAACCAAUAAAACACAAAUUGGCUUAACUAGAACAGGCUAUCCUGCUUCCCUCACAGGAUGUCCAGGUCAGGCCAACUGUAGGACAGAGGUAGUUCUAGCAACCUAAUGAUAUCAUCAAGGACUCAGGUUCUUUCCGUCUCUCUGUUCUUCCAUCUACAGUAUUGCUUUCUGCCUAAGGCUGGUUCUCCUUGUCAUCGUAGGAUGACUGUCAAGAGCUAUCAGGGCUACAGGCAUUCUCUUUCAUGUCCGGUAGGAAAAGAGGGUCACUUCCAGACCCUCUCCUGAAAGUGAGGAAGAACUUUCCAAGAAGCCUCCGGCAAACAUCUCCUCACUUCUCAUUGGCCAGACUUGGGUCACAUGCCCAUUCCCAAACCAAUCUCUGGCAAGGGGAUGCAAUUCCCAUGAUUGCCUUACAUUAAUUGGGUCCCAGGCCUGUGGCUGAGCUGGAAUGGAUAUCAAGGAGUCAACUACAACUGUCCAUUACACCUGCCUCAAAGGGUUGCAGGGGGAAUGAAAUGAGAUCGUGCUUGCAAAACCUAGCACUCCGUAGGUGCUCAACUAAUAGUAGUUCUUAUUACAAUAAUUAUCAACAUCAUGAUCAUCAUUUGGGGGCUUUGGCAUUAGACAGACUUUGAUUAAACACCAGUUCCUCCACUUCUUAGCUGUGUGGUCUUAUGAAAGCUGCUAAGCUUCAAAUCUACUCUGUAAAAUGGAAGUGGUAAGUGUUCCUAUCCCGUGUCAUUACUGUGUGGCAAAAAGUUAAUCAUGCAUUGUUUUUUUUUUGGCCUUCCCAGUAGCAGCUUGGGUGGUCCUUUCCCCUCCUCAGUAGAUGUGGUCCAGGUGAGGGAGACUCCCUUUUGUCUCCGGGAGCAGAUGCCUUAUCCUCACCUGGAUUCCUGCAUCCCUCAAGUCAUUGUGACUGGCUCAGGGAAAGCAUGUGAUCCAAAGUGAACCAAUGACAGGCAGCUCUAAUACUCUGCUGGUGUUGCCAGGGAAAGGGGUGCUCUUCUCUCCCUAGGAUCGCUGAGCUGGGAGGACAGAAGCUGAAGAUGUCUUGGUCACCUCAUGGGAAGAGCCUGCCUGAGAGUGAAGCCAACAGAAGGGAAAGCAGAGAUGGGAGAUGAAGAGAGACACAGGCCUGUUGACACUGUUGAGCUCCUGAAUACAGCCAAGCCUGAACCAAUUAUAUCGCUGGACUUUUCCUUAUAAUUUCUGCUCUACCAGGGCAGGGGUUUUUCUCCGCUCACCACUGCUGUGUCCCUAGUGCCUUGAACAGACUGGCUAAGAAUUCAAUACCUACUUGUUGAAUAAAUAUCAUUCUGUA